ensembl:lncRNA
AGUUUUAAAGUUGCUGUUACAGGAAACGGCCACAGUGACAGCCUUUCUUCACACCCAAGUCUGGUUCCCCUGGCAAUCAGAGCCUGGGGGAAAGCCUGUUCCUGGAUUGUCGACAGAAGUGGAAUGUGCCCAAAGUAACACCCAAGGCUUGUGCCUCAUUCCUUCUUCCCUCUUACCCUUUAUCUCUGCUGCUGCUACUGCUGCUAAGUCGCUUCAGUCGUGUCCGACUCUGUGCAACCCCAUAGACGGCAGCCCACCAGGCUCCCCCAUCCCUGGGAUUCUCCAGGCAAGAACACUGGAGUGGGUUGCCAUUUCCUUCUCCAAUGCAUGCAACUGAAAAGUGAAAGUGAAGUCGCUCAGUCGUGUCCAAUUCUUUGCGACCCCAUGGACUGCAGCCUACCAGGCUCCUCCAUCCAUGGGAUUUCCCAGGCAAGAGUACUGGAGUGGAGUGCCAUACCCUUUAUCUCUGGGGUACCCCAAUUCCUGCAGCACCGUUCAGGGGCGCAGGCUCCCAUCUAGGAACCAGAGAGCACCAGGGACUUUUCAAAGCUCUUCCAGCCCCGAGGCUCCACCACGGGGAGCAGUAAGUCUCCUUUCACUGCAGGCGUGCCCGUCUGGAUCCGGAGGUUAUUACAGUGUGUGGAAUAGGCAUUCUGGUGCUGUUCAGUGUUUCCUUGAGGAUGACUUCUUAAACAGUGAAAGGGUGUUAAUCACUCAGUCCCGUCCGACAAUGUGCAACCCCAUUGGCUGUAGCCCACCAGGCUCCUCUGUCCAUGGAAUUCUCCAGAGUCGUGAUUCCAUUGUGUACACGCGUGACUUGUUCUUCAUCCACUCCUCUGUUCAAGGACAUUCUGAUUCCUUCCUUGCCUUAGCAAGUGGAUAUCCUUUAUCCUUUAGAGCCCAGCAAAUUUUGUCAAGAGCUUUGGUGAAAGGACGACACGGGGUUGUAUGAAUAGAGUGGAGUCUAUCAGAACAACACCCAAACGU